rnacentral:lncRNA from 1 species
AUGAAAGAUCUAGAGGAAACACUCAAGAUCGAGGGAGGAACGGUGGAGACUCACCUUGGCCGACAAUGGGAGAGAAAAAGCUCGCCCGUGCGGACCAAGGGGACCCUUUUAUAGUGGCUGGCCAGGCCACGUUCGGGGGCCGAAUGUGCCUCCGCAUCCAUGCAAUGUUCGGCGGCCGAACAUGAGGUUCGGCGGCCGAACCUGCACUUCCCUCACUUAGACUUUCGGGGGCCUAACGUGCCUCCCAAAGUCCAUGCAUGUUCGGCGGCCGAAAGUGAGUUUCGGCGGCCGAACCUGGGUUUUUCCUUAAAGAAUUUUCAUGCAAAAACUUAUUUAAGAUCAUGCUUAAAACAUUAAAAUACAUGAAAAUAUUUUAUAAAAACAUGCUUUUACCCUUCUAGAGGUUUCCGACACCCAAAUUCCACCGGACGGUAGGAAUUCCGAUACCGGAGUCUAGCCGGGUAUUAC